UUAAUAACGUAUAUUCUAAAAAUGUAGCUAAGUCAAUAUCACGAAAUGCUAUCAGUAUUGUAAAAACUAACUUUGAAAUAGAAAGACUUCGAAUAAAAAAGAUGAGUGACCGUGUGAUAGAUAAAGAUGAGUUAAUUAAACAAAUAACAAAUCAUGUUGAGAUUCGCAAGAGACAAAUCAAAAGACAGAGACAGUAUUUUAAAAGUUUCUUCUUCUAAUUGAUGGAUGUAAAAAAAAUUACAGUUUUUUAAACGAGGACGUACUUUAU